ACUUUGCAGUCUGAGUAAACUUAAUUAAUAAAUUAAAACUUUUAACAACGGAUCUCUUGGUUCUGGCAUCGAUGAAGAACGCAGCGAAAUGCGAUAAGUAAUGUGAAUUGCAGAAUUCAGUGAAUCAUCGAAUCUUUGAACGCACAUUGCGCCCCCUGGUAUUCCGGGGGGCAUGCCUGUUCGAGCGUCAUU
rnacentral:rRNA from 3 species